rnacentral:lncRNA from 1 species
AACAUAAAAUGCACUUUUCAACACAUAAAAUCACAUUUCAUCAAAAUAUUUUCGCAGCUCAGCUAUUGUAUGUUUAUACGUGUUUAGAACAUGGGGCAGGUUAUAAGACAACAUUUGUAACUUAUAAUUAGUGCGAAAACGUGGUAUAUUCCAUGUGAUAACAGUUCUUGUGUUUAUGUUAGCACGACACAUGUCCAAAGAUGCCAGAGUAGAAUAAAAAUCGGCAAUGGAUGCCUUCGAAAAAUAAUUUUUUAACAACUAAAAGUUAUACAAAUGAUUGACUCGGACAAUGUUAUUUGCUUCAAAGGCAUACUUGGAGGAAUUUGUAUUGUCAACAUUGGCGAUUAUUUCAACAAUUUUCUUUUGCAAUACGAGAACC